UAACGGGGCUAAACCAUGCACCGAAGCUGCGGCAGCGACGUUUAUGCGUUGUUGGGUAGGGGAGCGUUCUGUAAGCCUGCGAAGGUGGCCUGUGAGGGUUGCUGGAGGUAUCAGAAGUGCGAAUGCUGACAUAAGUAACGAUAAAGCGGGUGAAAAGCCCGCUCGCCGGAAGACCAAGGGUUCCUGUCCAACGUUAAUCGGGGCAGGGUGAGUCGACCCCUAAGGCGAGGCCGAAAGGCGUAGUCGAUGGGAAACGGGUUAAUAUUCCCGUACUUGGUGUUACUGCGAAGGGGGGACGGAGAAGGCUAUGUUGGCCGGGCGACGGUUGUCCCGGUUUAAGCGUGUAGGUGUGUGUUCCAGGUAAAUCCGGUUCACUUUAACACUGAGGCGUGAUGACGAGGCACUACGGUGCUGAAGCAACAAAUGCCCUGCUUCCAGGAAAAGCCUCUAAGCAUCAGGUAACACGAAAUCGUACCCCAAACCGACACAGGUGGUCAGGUAGAGAAUACCAAGGCGCUUGAGAGAACUCGGGUGAAGGAACUAGGCAAAAUGGUGCCGUAACUUCGGGAGAAGGCACGCUGACACGUAGGUGAAGUGAUUUACUCAUGGAGCUGAAGUCAGUCGAAGAUACCAGCUGGCUGCAACUGUUUAUUAAAAACACAGCACUGUGCAAACACGAAAGUGGACGUAUACGGUGUGACGCCUGCCCGGUGCCGGAAGGUUAAUUGAUGGGGUCAGCGCAAGCGAAGCUCCUGAUCGAAGCCCCGGUAAACGGCGGCCGUAACUAUAACGGUCCUAAGGUAGCGAAAUUCCUUGUCGGGUAAGUUCCGACCUGCACGAAUGGCGUAAUGAUGGCCAGGCUGUCUCCACCCGAGACUCAGUGAAAUUGAACUCGCUGUGAAGAUGCAGUGUACCCGCGGCAAGACGGAAAGACCCCGUGAACCUUUACUAUAGCUUGACACUGAACAUUGAGCCUUGAUGUGUAGGAUAGGUGGGAGGCUUUGAAGUGUGGACGCCAGUCUGCAUGGAGCCGACCUUGAAAUACCACCCUUUAAUGUUUGAUGUUCUAACGUGGACCCGUUACCCGGGUUGCGGACAGUGUCUGGUGGGUAGUUUGACUGGGGCGGUCUCCUCCUAAAGAGUAACGGAGGAGCACGAAGGUUGGCUAAUCCUGGUCGGACAUCAGGAGGUUAGUGCAAUGGCAUAAGCCAGCUUGACUGCGAGCGUGACGGCGCGAGCAGGUGCGAAAGCAGGUCAUAGUGAUCCGGUGGUUCUGAAUGGAAGGGCCAUCGCUCAACGGAUAAAAGGUACUCCGGGGAUAACAGGCUGAUACCGCCCAAGAGUUCAUAUCGACGGCGGUGUUUGGCACCUCGAUGUCGGCUCAUCACAUCCUGGGGCUGAAGUAGGUCCCAAGGGUAUGGCUGUUCGCCAUUUAAAGUGGUACGCGAGCUGGGUUUAGAACGUCGUGAGACAGUUCGGUCCCUAUCUGCCGUGGGCGCUGGAGAACUGAGGGGGGCUGCUCCUAGUACGAGAGGACCGGAGUGGACGCAUCACUGGUGUUCGGGUUGUCAUGCCAAUGGCACUGCCCGGUAGCUAAAUGCGGAAGAGAUAAGUGCUGAAAGCAUCUAAGCACGAAACUUGCCCCGAGAUGAGUUCUCCCUGAGACUUAGAGUCUCCUGAAGGAACGUUGAAGACGACGACGUUGAUAG
rnacentral:rRNA from 1 species